UCCAUUGCUUGUUUUAUUCAUUUUAUCUUUC
rnacentral:piRNA from 1 species